rnacentral:lncRNA from 1 species
GAAAGAUGAACAGUGAUGCCAUUCUCCUCAAACAGCUGAGUGUCCUGGCCACGGCUUUUGGAAAUCUUGGAUGCUUGGCUUCUCUGAUCUUUGGCACUUAUCCUGCAGCUCAUGACUCUGAUGCAGUCAGCCCACAGGCAGGGCUGCCUUGGUGUGGUACAACCUGGAGCCAUACAUUAGCUGAUCUCUAUGAAGUAUGGACAGAUCUCGUGGGAGUUCCAAUGGCUGGUUGAAAAGCCUUUAAGGCCAGACACAAGAAGAAUGACUUCUUCUAGGCUUGUUAAUGAGGACUGUAAAUCCAGGCAGACUUUGGAAUGACUCCUAGGAAAACAAAGAUUAACUGCUGUGAAUGUUCCAAACUCCAUGUUCUGCCCCAUGAGAAGCAGAGAAAUGCCAUGCAUUUUCAGUUGUCAUCUGAGAGGGAUCCUACACACUGGCUCUGGGAAGGAAACUGCCUUUGGUUAGAGCAACUUGUGUCUGGACUCAAAUGGACACUUUACAGAACAGAGGUAUCCAAAGACAGGGUGCAAGCAGAAGAAAGCAUCAUGGAGCUGCAAAUAUGGUUCCAGCAGAAUAUUAGGUGCUUUGUACAGGAGUCAUUCAAAAUGUCAUUGACUAUCAGCUCUCUCUCUCUCUGUGUUACUUCCACAGUCAUGUCUUCUCAGAGCUGCCAUGCCUCGUGUGAUAACUAGUAUGGUAAGUACAGUUCCUCUGCUUCAGCAAACACCAGCAGUAGCCCCUGAUCAGACUGAGCCAUUGGGAGACAGAGCAUGCUGCAGCCAUCCCACCAAACCUGCUCGGUGGGAUGGCACAAGCACUUAACAGAAUAAGAAAGUUGGUCUUCGUGUCCUUCCCCUGUGGCCACAAACGUGAUCUGAGACAUGCCCCUCUCCAUUCUGCUGCUGUGUACCUUC